rnacentral:tRNA from 1 species
AGCGUCGUGGCUCGGCUUAUCCGCGCCGCUGUGGAUGGCGCUCGGCGGGUUCAUGCUUGUCGGCGUGA